GAAAUAUGAAGUACAAGAAAAAGCUGCUAACUUUCUCUUUUAAUGGUUAAAUUCCAUUUAUAUUUCU
rnacentral:tRNA from 1 species